AACGAACGCUGGCGGCAGGCUUAACACAUGCAAGUCGAACGCCCCGCAAGGGGAGUGGCAGACGGGUGAGUAACGCGUGGGAAUCUACCCAGUUCUACGGAAUAACCCAGGGAAACUUGGACUAAUACCGUAUACGCCCUACGGGGGAAAGAUUUAUCGGAAUUGGAUGAGCCCGCGUUGGAUUAGCUAGUUGGUGGGGUAAUGGCCUACCAAGGCGACGAUCCAUAGCUGGUCUGAGAGGAUGAUCAGCCACACUGGGACUGAGACACGGCCCAGACUCCUACGGGAGGCAGCAGUGGGGAAUAUUGGCCAAUGGGCGCAAGCCUGAUCCAGCCAUGCCGCGUGAGUGAUGAAGGCCUUAGGGUUGUAAAGCUCUUUCAGUGGGGACGAUAAUGACGGUACCCACAGAAGAAGCCCCGGCUAACUUCGUGCCAGCCGCCGCCGUAACAC
rnacentral:rRNA from 1 species